GGUUAGGUGAUCCUUCCUCAGAUAUCAUGAC
rnacentral:piRNA from 1 species